rnacentral:rRNA from 1 species
GAGCAAACAGGAUUAGAUACCCUGGUAGUCCACGCCCUAAACGAUGUCUACUAGUUGUCGGGUCUUAAUUGACUUGGUAACGCAGCUAACGCGUGAAGUAGACCGCCUGGGGAGUACGGUGGCAAGAUUAAAACUCAAAGGAAUUGACGGGGACCCGCCCAAGCGGUGGAUGAUGUGGAUUAAUUCGAUGCAACGCGAAAAACCUUACCUUCCCCUGACAUGUACAGAAUCCCGAAGAGAUUUGGGAUUGUUCGAAAGAAAACUGUAACACAGGUGCUUCAUGGCCGUCGUCAGCUCGUGUCGUGAGAUGUUGGGUUAAGUCCCGCAACGAGCGCAACCCUUGUCAUUAGUUGCUAAGAAAGGGCACUCUAAUGAGACUGCCGGUGACAAACCGGAGGAAGGGGGGGAGGACGUCAAGUCCUCAUGGCCCUUAUGGGUAGGGCUUCACACGUCAUACAAUGGUACAUACAGAGGGCCGCCAACCCGCGAGGGGGAGCUAAUCCCAGAAAGUGUAUCGUAGUCCGGAUUGUAGUCUGCAACUCGACUACAUGAAGUUGGAAUCGCUAGUAAUCGCGGAUCAGCAUGUCGCGGUGAAUACGUUCCCGGGUCUUGUACACACCGCCCGUCACACCAUGGGAGCGGGUUUUACC